UACGUAGGGUGCGAGCGUUGCCCGGAUUUAUUGGGCGUAAAGGGCGCGCAGGCGGCUACGCACGUCCGUUGUGUAAUCGCUCGGCUCAACUGGGCGGGGUCGGCGGAUACGGCGUAGCUGGUGCAAGCUAGGGGGCAAUGGAAUUCCUGGUGUAGCGGUGAAAUGCGCAGAUAUCAGGAGGAACACCGGUGGCGAAGGCGGCGAGCUGGUCCAUUACUGACGCUGAGGCGCGACAGCGUGGGGAGCAAACAGG
rnacentral:rRNA from 1 species